rnacentral:rRNA from 1 species
AUACGGAGGAUCCGAGCGUUAUCCGGAUUUAUUAGGUUUAAAGGGUGCGCAGGCGGAACUGUAAGUCACCGGUGAAAUCCUACAGCUUAACUGUAGAACUGCCGGUGAUACUGCGAUUCUUGAGUAUAGUUGAGGUAGGCGGAAUGUGUAGUGUAGCGGUGAAAUGCAUAGAUAUUACACAGAGCACCGAUUGCGAAGGCAGCUUACUAAACUAUUACUGACGCUCAUGCACGAAAGCGUGGGGAGCGAACAGGAUUAGAAACCCUAGUAGUCC